rnacentral:rRNA from 1 species
UACGGGGGGAGCAAGCGUUGUUCGGAUUUACUGGGCGUAAAGGGCGCGUAGGCGGCCUCUGCAAGUCGACUGUGAAAUCUCCGGGCUUAACCCGGAACGGUCAGCCGAUACUGCAGGGCUAGAGUGCAGAAGGGGCAACUGGAAUUCUCGGUGUAGCGGGGAAAUGCGUAGAUAUCGAGAGGAACACCUGCGGCGAAGGCGGGUUGCUGGGCUGACACUGACGCUGAAGUGCGAAAGCUAGGGGAGCGAACGGG